CACUAGAUAUCUAUUUGAGCAGUCGCUGCAUCUUACCAUCCUGCAAUCCAAAGCCAAACCAGUGGAAGGACUCAAGCCAGCUUGCUCCGUUGCAUGCCGCAAGUGACAUAAUGAUUAAUGGUCAGCCCAACCUCCUUUCCAAUUCAGUGAUAAUCACGUCACAUGUUUCUGAGUUAAAUAAAUUAGCUACUAAUUUGAUUAGUGUGCAUGCUACCACUUUUCUAAAUUAAAAGCAAACAUAGGUUCUGCGCCAUGAUAUUUUAUAAGCAAACAUUAAUAUGAUCUCCCUGGAUCAAAAUAAAUUAAGCUUGUGACUAUUUCUUUUGUAAUAUAAAACUCUCGACGGUAAUAUUAUUUAGUGUGUAUUAAUUUACAUUUUCAAAAAAAAAUAAAAUUAGUUUUAUCUCGAUUUUGUAACUCAAAUAUAAUUUAACUUAAUCUAGGUAUUUCUAUGAAGUAUUUCCAAAUGAACCCGCUCCAAAGCGUCUAUCUGGUUUACGCUAUUUGUUUCCGAACCGGCCCAGCACUAAUCGCUCAGGAAAUUACAAGUUUGCCACUGAUUUUCUUUUGGUCAUAAAAUAUUCAUUUUAAUUCCGUUUUGACCCAUUCAAAUUGCGUUAGACUCGUCUUUGAAAUAUCUACAUGUUAGUAACACUGUUUUCUCAGUUUGAAACUUUAUAAUUUCGUGACUUUAAUUAAUUAUUUUUCUAUAUAAAAUCUUAGAAAAUUCAUAAAUUUUCCGUUUUAGCUUCGAUUUUCGUGAUAUUUACGUUCGUGUGAUCGUAGUGAUGUGUAGAAUCUUUUUAUAAACUUUUCAUACUAUUUUUAUAUGAUUGGUGUACUGUUCUAAUUGUAGCCUUGUUUGCUUCGUGUAUGUUUGUUGCCGUAUGUUUGUGAUCAACCAGUCAGUUGGAUCCUGUGAAGUGAAGUUAAUACCCGAAGUUUGGAGUUGUCUGUCCGCUGUUUGAUAUCAAAGGUUAUACCUUUUAUACUAAGUACGUUAUAUAUUUAUGUAUUGUCUUUUGAUAUUACCCCUUAUUUGUAGCUAUAUGUGAGAUUUGACUUCUAAGACUCACAUAUGGUGUAUAUCUGGUUUUAUCCUUAAAAUCGGGUAUUACAAAGUGGUAUCAAAGCAAUGCUGACUGUAGGACGCAAGCCUAGUUAGAAAUUUGUCGUCUUAAGGUUUUGGAAUUGUCAUAAAAUCCUUGCUCUAUAAACCUUGGUAUUUUCAUCCAUAUUAUAUCCCUAUCCUUGCUAUUUGUCUCCACCUUGUUGCUUAUUUUAAAGACUUGUUCUCAUCCCCACUCCUUGCUUGAUAUGCUUUUAGAACUUUUUCUUACCACCUUCUGGCAUCGUUGGAAUAGGUGUUUUAAGAUAUCUACCCUUACUAUGAAGAGAACGAUAGUAUCGCAAAUUGAGUGAAGUGUGCUUAGUUGGUUUGUUAUUAUGCUUAUGCUUGAUUUGGAUCUUUGUAAUGAUUGCAAUGAUCUUGUGGGAUUUCUCCACAAUUUCAUUAGUUUAUAGACCUAAGGCAUAAGGAUUAAUGAAAUAAGUAGUUGGGUUUGGCUAUCUCUUGUUCCUAUCCCUUGCUGAUUUCUGGAGCAGUCUGCGAUGAUUCUGGUGUACCUCAAGUUUUGAUCGUGCAAAGUAUAUCAACUUUUUCUGGGAACAACUAAACUUCAAGAUCUUUCUCUGACCGCAAGAAUCACCCCCAUAUCUAUUUUGGAAUUGGAGUUAUGAAAAUCACAAGUUGAUGCAGCUGCGCUGUCAAGAAUCUGUACCAGUUUCGGUUGCUUACUGUUUUAGACAUAUAUAACUAUAGAAUUUGGAAAAGUAUUCUAUAGAAAAUUUGUAGACAAUUUUCUAUUCUUUCCAACGGUAUAAGCUGGAACUUAUUUGGAUAAGUAGAACUUGAGAUUAUGAUAUUUAUACUCGGAUGUUUCUGUUCUGCUUCAAAAUCUGGACAGAUCUGGUAUUUCUAAUUUUUCAGCCAAGUUAAAGACAGAAUCUGGGAAAACGUGGUAUACGAAACUUGUAGAGAAUUUCCCAACAUUUUCAAAAAUGUAAGGAUCAUCUCCAGAUGAGUUAAGGAGCUCUAGAUAUAACUUCUGGAAGUUACUGCACCUUUGCUGAGACAUUAUCAGGAAGGAGAUUAUGUUUGGUUGUUUUACCUAAGCUUAAAGACAGAACCUAAGGAGGUCUUCUACAUGAAAGUGGUAGAGAAUUUCAUAAGUUUUCUAACGGUAUAAGCUACAACUCUAUUGGAUUAACAUAAUAAGAGUUAUACUUGUUUUACUACGCUGGUGUUUUCAUAUCACGAGAAGAUUUCAGGAUACCUGUUUGUUCUCUUGCACCUAAGUUCUUUGGGAUGUCAGGAGUUCUCAAUCUUAGUUAACUUGUCUGAAAAACAUGCAAGCUACCUUUCUUGUGCCCUAGUUGACUUUUCAUAAGGGGGGUAGCCUAGUUAAAGAAGUUACAAGGAGAAUGAUUGGUUAAUGUUGGAUCAUAUGUUAGGAUCACAAAUGUUUGGUGAAUUUGGUUUUGUUCCAAGGUAUCAACCCACUUGGAGAAUAUAAUUGGAGGUUUAUGUCAUUACUGAUACUCACAGACUAAGAGUUGCGUAUGAAGAUCAGAUGAUACCAAAUUCUACAAAGCUUUAUGUACAAAGUGAGAGUGAAGCAACUUAACUGUGAUAAACUGUGAUAAAGGUACUAACAAUUGGAACUUAGUCAUGAAGCCAACCUUGGAUCAAGAGACUCGGUACAACAAAUUUUAAAGACUAUAUGAUGUGUAGCAUUUAAAAAGGUUAUGAGGACUAGUCCCUAAUGUCUCCCCAAUCAAUCUCAUCUUAAGGGGGUAGCCUAGAUAAGAAGGUUGCUAAAUGAAGGUUCCAUGCGUUCUAGUGCCUUAGUUGGAAGUAUCUUUUAUGCCUCUGGAUGAGAAGUCAAUAUCAUGUGUAGGUAUUACCCUUGUUUGAGCUAUGAGUAAAAAAAAAAACCUUAUCUAUACAAUGUGCACUACUGAACUCUUGGAAACAAUUGAGGGAGAUGUUCGGAGUGACGAAAGCAAUGGAAUGGCUACUAAGGAGCUACUCGAGGAAGUGAAUAAGGUUCAAAAGUGGAGUGUCCAUGUUUCUUUGAUCACCAUCUUUCGAAUCUCGAGGACGAGAUUCAUCUUAAGGGGGGUAGAAUUGUAACACCCUAAAAUUUGCUCCUUUCAAAAUAGAUGAAAAUCGAUUUAGUUUUGUAUUUUUUUUGUGCUCAUGAAAAUAUGGGAAAAAAAUAAUAUUUUUCAUUAGAUUAAAGUUUAUCAUAAGGCUUAGCAACAUGGUUGUGUAUACAUGCUGAUGCAUAUGAUUUUGGGUGAUGUCUGCUUAUUGCUCCUUUGUGGGUUGAUAGUAAGAAAAAUAUUUAAAAUACAUUUAGUAGAUCGAUCUUCCUUAUUCGACACGUAUUUAUCUUUUUCUACAAUCAAAUUCCUUGUCUCUUAGCUCAAGAUUUCGGUCAGGGUCUCUCAGAAUCUUUUCUUUCAAACCUAAGUCACUCGUUUGAGUUUCUCGUCCAUUAAGCAAUAUCUACAAACUUCUCGGGUAUUUUUCUAGCCUUUUCUAUGAGCAUAAAUCUAAUUUUAGAUGCCCCAAAUUAUCUCAUCAUAAGUUCCAAAUACUUUAUUUGGAUUCCUCAUGUUCUAUAAUAUCUCUGAGAAUUUUUCCCAAAUUUUCGAAGCUUUCGGAGUAUUUUUCGUGGCUUAACUACUAAUUAUGAACUUUUCUAGAAUUAUUUUAUCCAUGAAAAUAAUUAAUUUCGAAAAUAAUAAUUUCUUCAUUUUACUCAAAUCCAACGUCAUCAUGAUUCAAAGACCAAAUGUUUUAUUUACUAAUGGGCUUUAAUAAUUAAUUAGGCCUAUUAGUAAAGAUGGAGAUUUCAACAUCAAUUAGUACCAUAUUGCUAAUUGAUGUGGAUGUGACGAGUUUUUCUCCCUAUAUAUGUACCAACUUUUUGGGUUAAGCACACACCAAAACUACCAUGAGGGAAGCCCCAGGUUUAGGAAUCCCUAGGUAGUAAAUCAAUUUUUUUUCCCCUCUUUAUCAUCCCAGCAUUGCUGAUCCAUCUACUAUCGCUAUUCUUAUCACGGAGGUGGAGAAUCGUUUGAGCAGCAGGUCUGGUCAUCAACGCCUGCUGUCUUCUUUGGUGCUUCUGUGUUGUUGGUAAGGAACCGUGCAUAACCUUGCUUUUAGUUCACGUAUCUAUCCUAAUUCAAGCAUAAUCCUCAUCAGCUGACUACACUAGAUAUCUAUUUGAGCAGUCGCUGCAUCUUACCAUCCUGCAAUCCAAAGCCAAACCAGUGGAAGGACUCAAGCCAGCUUGCUCCGUUGCAUGCCGCAAGUGACAUAAUGAUUAAUGGUCAGCCCAACCUCCUUUCCAAUUCAGUGAUAAUCACGUCACAUGUUUCUGAGUUAAAUAAAUUAGCUACUAAUUUGAUUAGUGUGCAUGCUACCACUUUUCUAAAUUAAAAGCAAACAUAGGUUCUGCGCCAUGAUAUUUUAUAAGCAAACAUUAAUAUGAUCUCCCUGGAUUAAAAUAAAUUAAGCUUGUGACUAUUUCUUUUGUAAUAUAAAACUCUCG
rnacentral:lncRNA from 1 species